UACCACCUAGUGUUUUAUUUUGGUUGUACAACGCCCUGAAAAUCAAAGGCCGGAAGACUCGUUCUGUUAGGGCGUUCGAAAACACGAGCCCUUCUCCAAGACUCCACGUUCCGACAUGUCUUCUGCCUGAAAAGCCGUUGGUAUGGCUUCGGAGUUACCCUCUUCUACUACUACUGGUUAUCAUCAGGCGGCUGAAUAACAUUUGAAAAGAGGCGAAGGGGGGCAGUUUAACACGGUCACCAGCAGCGACUGCAACUCUCCAUUAGUGCAAAAAUGGGGAGCGACGGCAAUUUGAAGACAUGGGUAUCUGACAAAUUAAUGUCAUUGUUGGGAUAUUCUCAAUCCACACUUGUUCAAUAUGUUAUUGGGUUAUCUAAACAAGCAAAUUCACCAGCUGAUGUGGUGAGUAAGCUUGUAGAGUUUGGAUUAUCUUCAUCCAGUGAAACACGAACGUUUGCUGAAGAAAUCUACAACAGGGUGCCUCACAAAGCAUCCGGAUUAAGUGUUUAUCAGAAACAGGAGAAAGAAGCAGCAAUGAUUGCGAGGAAGACGUAUGCUCUACUUGAUGCAGAUGAUGAAGAUGAUGAUGACAAUCAUGGUGCUGGUAGCUGCAUCAUUUCUGUUAAUUCUACUACUGAAAAAAGAGCAGCAUCCUGUAACAAAAGGUUUAGGAAGAAGGCUGAUGUUCUAGAUGACGAUGAUGAGGACAUAGCACAGAGGGAAGAACAGAGACAAGUUAAAAGACGAGCAACCUCAGAUGAAGAUGAUGAUUCUGAGUCAGACGAAAUGUUACGUGAUCAGAAAGAGAGAGAGCAAUUAGAGAGAAAUCUAAAAGAACGAGAUGCAGUAGCCACCCGCAAGUUAACGGAGCGAAAGUUAUCAAAAAAGGAUGAGGAGGAGGCUAUUCGAAGGUCUAAUGCUUUGGAGGAAGAUGAUCUUGAUACUUUAAGAAAAUUUUCAAGACAAGAAUAUUUGAAGAAAAGAGAACAAAAGAAACUGGAGGAAAUCAGAGAUGAUAUAGAAGACGAGCAGUAUCUAUUUGAUGGUGUGAAGCUUACUGAAGCAGAAAAUCGUGAAUUGAGGUAUAAGAAGGAAAUAUAUGAGCUUGUGAAGAAGCAGUCAGAGGCAACUGAUGAUAUAAGUGAGUACAGAAUGCCAGAUGCCUAUGAUGAUCAGGAUGGUGGUGUUAAUCAGGAGAAGAGAUUUGCUGUGGCUGUGCAACGUUACAGGGACCCAACUGCUGGGGACAAAAUGAAUCCUUUUGCAGAACAGGAAGCCUGGGAAGAACAUCAAAUUGGUAAGGCAACAUUGAAAUAUGGUUCAAAAAACAAAAAGCAAACGUCUGAUGGCUACCAGUUUGUGUUUGAGGACCAGAUUGAUUUUAUCAAGGCAUCAGUAAUGGAUGGCGAUGAGUUUGCUGUUGAACAUGAUGAUUUACAUGAGAAGUCAAUGGCACAAUCAGCCUUCGAGAAGCUGCAGGAGGACAGGAAAACUUUGCCCAUGUAUCAAUAUCAUGAUCAGUUGCUCCAAGCUAUUAAUGAUCAUCAGGUUCUGGUUAUUGUUGGUGAAACUGGUUCAGGAAAGACCACACAAAUACCUCAAUAUCUUCAUGAAGCUGGAUAUACAAAACGUGGAAAGGUUGGAUGUACACAGCCACGGCGAGUUGCUGCUAUGAGUGUUGCUGCAAGGGUUGCUCAAGAAAUGGGUGUUAAACUUGGACAUGAGGUUGGUUAUUCCAUCCGUUUUGAAGACUGCACAUCUGACAAGACUGUUCUGAAGUACAUGACAGAUGGAAUGCUGUUGCGGGAAUUUCUUGGAGAACCAGAUUUGGCAAGCUACAGCGUGGUGAUGGUGGAUGAGGCCCAUGAAAGGACACUCUCAACUGACAUUCUUUUUGGCUUAGUGAAAGAUAUUGCUCGAUUUAGACCGGAUCUAAAGUUACUUAUUUCUAGUGCGACAAUGGAUGCAGAGAAGUUCAGUGAUUACUUUGAUUCUGCUCCAAUUUUUAAAAUUCCAGGUAGACGAUAUCCAGUAGAAAUUCAUUACACAAAAGCACCCGAAGCUGAUUACUUAGAUGCCGCAAUUGUGACUGCACUUCAAAUCCAUGUGACACAGCCACCUGGGGAUAUAUUGGUGUUCCUUACGGGUCAGGAAGAAAUUGAGACAGCAGAAGAAAUUAUGAAGCAUAGAAUACGGGGUCUUGGGACAAAGAUUGCUGAGUUGAUCAUCUGCCCCAUAUACGCCAACCUGCCAACAGAGCUGCAAUCUAAAAUAUUUGAACCAACGCCUGAAGGGGCAAGGAAGGUUGUCCUUGCCACAAAUAUAGCUGAGACAUCAUUAACAAUUGAUGGGAUUAAAUAUGUCAUUGACCCAGGUUUUUGUAAGAUGAAGUCGUACAAUCCAAGGACUGGAAUGGAAUCGUUGCUAAUCACUCCAGUAUCCAAGGCAUCAGCAAAUCAGAGGGCUGGUCGAUCUGGUCGAACAGGCCCAGGAAAGUGCUUCCGAUUAUAUACUGCUUACAACUAUUACAAUGAUUUAGAUGACAAUACUGUUCCAGAAAUACAGCGAACUAAUCUUGCAAAUGUGGUGCUUAUGCUCAAGAGCCUUGGUAUUCAUGACUUAUUACAUUUUGAUUUCAUGGAUCCACCACCUUCUGAAGCACUACUAAAAGCAUUAGAACUGCUUUUCGCCUUGAGUGCCUUAAAUAAAGUGGGUGAGUUGACUAAAGUGGGUAGACGGAUGGCAGAAUUUCCUCUUGAUCCCAUGCUGUCAAAAGCAAUCGUUGCUUCAGAGAAGUACAAGUGCUCAGACGAUAUCAUUUCCAUUGCUGCCAUGCUUUCUAUUGGCAAUUCAAUAUUUUACAGGCCAAAAGACAAACAAGUCCAUGCUGACAAUGCACGCUUAAAUUUUCAUACUGGGAAUGUUGGAGACCACCUUGCGCUGCUUAAGGUUUACAGUUCAUGGAAAGAAACAAAUUACUCAACACAAUGGUGUUAUGAAAAUUACAUACAGGUUAGGAGUAUGAAACGUGCAAGAGAUAUCAGAGAUCAACUUGAGGGACUUCUGGAGAGAGUUGAGAUUGAGCUAGUCUCAAAUCCCAAUGAUUUAGAAGCUAUAAAGAAGUCGAUCACGUCCGCUCUUUUCAGGUUACUUCCCUCACUCUGCAAGGCUGCAAAAGAAUGGCUCUUAUCGAACAGUCAAGCAUCCACAAACAGUCCAUAUACACCCCAGCUCAGGGCUUGCCCAGGUGCUUCCAAGAUGGGUUGUAUACCAUGAAUUAGUACUUACAAGCAAAGAAUAUAUGAGACAGGUUACGGAACUAAAGCCAGAGUGGCUGGUUGAAAUAGCCCCACAUUACUACCAGCUUAAGGAUGUUGAAGACUCGAGUACAAAGAAGAUGCCUCGCGGAGAAGGCCGGGCAUCAUAGGACCAAAAAAAAAAAAAGGUCACAACUUAGGAACAAGAUUGAAGAGAAUAUGCAUCGGGCUGUUAGUGCAUAUGGAGAAGGCCGCGAAAACGAUCAUAUUGUAUAUACAGCUGGUAAUGGUUGGGGAUAAAAGUAAAAUCAGAAUGAUAUAGAAACAGUGUACUGUUGUACAUACAAUUUUGUAUAACACAGACUAACUACAAUUUUUUGUACAUGCAUCAUCAUAGACUAACCAUCAUUGUAGGUUCCCCCGACACCUUUCUCUCGCAUUGCUUUCCUUUUUCUUCAUUUUAACCAAAAUUUGGAUGAUAUGUUACAUGAGUUAUUCUGAAUUGGUUGGUUGGAGACCUUUUUUAUGCUAAAAUGAAACAGUCACUUAGAAUCUGUAGAA